CCUAAAUCACUCCUGAAUAGCAUGGAGGCCUAAGAAAAUAACCCCUUUCCACUGCAAACCACUCUAUUUUUCAAUUAACAAAGGGUAAGGAUGUUUUUUCUCUCUUUCUCAUUCGAUGAUUCAAAGCUAUAUAGAAUGUAAAAUUCUAUAAUUUAUUAUUAAUUGUUUAUUGUUUUUUUAAAAUACUUGAUGGGGUAGAACAAAAUACAGUCUUGAAGGUUAUCUUCAGACAAUGCAUCUCACACAAUAUUAAAAUGAUAGACUAUGGAAGAAGUUAUUUUAAAGAUAUAACUUUCUGAGUGCUGACAUCUAUCUAGCAAGUUGCAAAACAGGGAUACAGUUAAUCUGAGGUGUUCAUUAUUGUCAUGGAAGAUGAUAUAUGCCAAAUUGAAAGAAAAGGAUUUCCUCUUGACCUCAUGGUUCUUUAAAGGCAUCUAUUCGCACAUGCCCAACAAUGAUACGAAACUUCCUCCCAAAAAUCCAAAGCAAUGAAAAGAAGCAAAAUGCUUUGGGAAUUCUGACAUGCAAAAGAGAAUUUGUGGCUAAGAAAGGGCUCCUGGUUAGGAUUUCAAAUGACAGAGAAACUUUUUGACUAUAGCUCUCCCAAAUGAAUUGGUGAGGGAGGAAGGAGGACCCCGGAGGGUAAGAGACACUGAGAAAUGUCAGCUAAUAUAGCAAAAUUAAUUGAAAGGAAAGGUGGUCGGGGUUGAUGUUUCACUGACUACCAUAACGUCCUCUGUGCCCUCCUCUCCCCCACCACCCUGAAGAAAGGAAAGAGGGAAGGAAGGAUGGAAGGAAGGAAGUGGAGUAGAUACCGCUAUCAGGAGAAUUAUGGUAAUAGGAAAUGCUAGAGCCAUAACACCAGGAAGCCAACUAGGGGAAAGACUGGAUCUUGCACUCCUCCCCUCUACCCUACUUCCUGUUCCCUUUUCAACUGUCUUGAAGUUCACAGAAAUGAAAAAUGUCUAUCUCUAACCUAGAACAAGUAGGAAAAGGAAAUGCGGAUUUGAAAUACAUCUGUAAUCAGGAUGGAGAUGGGAAAGAAUAGGAAUCUCUUCUUGACAUAAGAUUGUCAAAUAAUCUUUGUAAAAUACAAAAGACAAAUGCUAGAGGACUGACUAUCUCUUUUAUCUACUUGUCAUAUGAAACUGAAGGCUACAAUAUUCUGACUUUACUGAAAUGAAAACAAAUGCCAGAUAUCUAAUGACCAUUGUAGACAUUAUGUGCAGUUUCAGAUUUAGGUGAAAUUACAUCUGCAUAUUAUAGAUGAUAUUUCUUCAGGAAAAAUAUACACUAUACUGCACCUCCAAUAAAGCACAAAUGUACCAGUUCCCUUUGCA
rnacentral:lncRNA from 1 species